ensembl:snoRNA LOC120099024 small nucleolar RNA SNORA17
CCUGUUCCUGAAAGCUUUGCAGGUAUGGCUGCUGUUUGACAUGUGUGUCAGUAGAUGGCAGAGGGGAGAGGGGCUGCGUCUAUGCUCAGCGUUCUGACCUAUGAAUGAUAAGUGGCCUAACACC